rnacentral:tRNA from 1 species
GAGGAAAAUCCGUCGA